rnacentral:rRNA from 1 species
UACGUAGGGUGCAAGCGUUAAUCGGAAUUACUGGGCGUAAAGCGUGCGCAGGCGGUUUUGUAAGUCUGACGUGAAAUCCCCGGGCUCAACCUGGGAAUUGCGUUGGAGACUGCAAGGCUAGAAUCUGGCAGAGGGGGGUAGAAUUCCACGUGUAGCAGUGAAAUGCGUAGAGAUGUGGAGGAACACCGAUGGCGAAGGCAGCCCCCUGUGUCAAGAUUGACGCUCAUGCACGAAAGCGUGGGGAGCGAACAGG